rnacentral:rRNA from 1 species
UACGAGGGGUGCAAGCGUUAUUCGGAAUUAUUGGGCGUAAAGGGUGCGUAGACGGCACAUUAAGUUUAUUGUUAAAGCCUUCGGCUCAACUGGAGAAUCGCAAUAAAAACUGAUGCGCUAGAGGUUGAAAGAGAGGAGUGGAAUUCCCGGAGUAGCGGUAAAAUGCGUAGAUCUCGGGAGGAACACCAAUGGCGAAGGCAGCUCCUUGGUUCAAAUCUGACGUUGAGGCAGCGAAAGUGUGGGGAGCAAAGCAGG